rnacentral:rRNA from 1 species
AGAUUAAGUUAUUAAGGGCGCACGGUGGAUGCCUUGGCACUAGAAGCCGAUGAAGGACGUUACUAACGACGAUAUGCUUUGGGGAGCUGUAAGUAAGCUUUGAUCCAGAGAUUUCCGAAUGGGGAAACCCAGCAUGAGUUAUGUCAUGUUAUCGAUAUGUGAAUACAUAGCAUAUCAGAAGGCACACCCGGAGAACUGAAACAUCUUAGUACCCGGAGGAAGAGAAAGAAAAUUCGAUUCCCUUAGUAGCGGCGAGCGAAACGGGAAGAGCCCAAACCAACAAGCUUGCUUGUUGGGGUUGUAGGACACUCUAUACGGAGUUACAAAGGACGACAUUAGACGAAUCAUCUGGAAAGAUGAAUCAAAGAAGGUAAUAAUCCUGUAGUCGAAAAUGUUGUCUCUCUUGAGUGGAUCCUGAGUACGACGGAGCACGUGAAAUUCCGUCGGAAUCUGGGAGGACCAUCUCCUAAGGCUAAAUACUCUCUAGUGACCGAUAGUGAACCAGUACCGUGAGGGAAAGGUGAAAAGCACCCCGGAAGGGGAGUGAAAUAGAACCUGAAACCGUGUGCUUACAAGUAGUCAGAGCCCGUUAAUGGGUGAUGGCGUGCCUUUUGUAGAAUGAACCGGCGAGUUACGAUUUGAUGCAAGGUUAAGCAGUAAAUGUGGAGCCGUAGCGAAAGCGAGUCUGAAUAGGGCGUUUAGUAUUUGGUCGUAGACCCGAAACCAGGUGAUCUACCCUUGGUCAGGUUGAAGUUCAGGUAACACUGAAUGGAGGACCGAACCGACUUACGUUGAAAAGUGAGCGGAUGAACUGAGGGUAGCGGAGAAAUUCCAAUCGAACCUGGAGAUAGCUGGUUCUCUCCGAAAUAGCUUUAGGGCUAGCCUCAAGUGAUGAUUAUUGGAGGUAGAGCACUGUUUGGACGAGGGGCCCCUCUCGGGUUACCGAAUUCAGACAAACUCCGAAUGCCAAUUAAUUUAACUUGGGAGUCAGAACAUGGGUGAUAAGGUCCGUGUUCGAAAGGGAAACAGCCCAGACCACCAGCUAAGGUCCCAAAAUAUAUGUUAAGUGGAAAAGGAUGUGGCGUUGCCCAGACAACUAGGAUGUUGGCUUAGAAGCAGCCAUCAUUUAAAGAGUGCGUAAUAGCUCACUAGUCGAGUGACACUGCGCCGAAAAUGUACCGGGGCUAAACAUAUUACCGAAGCUGUGGAUUGUCCUUUGGACAAUGGUAGGAGAGCGUUCUAAGGGCGUUGAAGCAUGAUCGUAAGGACAUGUGGAGCGCUUAGAAGUGAGAAUGCCGGUGUGAGUAGCGAAAGACGGGUGAGAAUCCCGUCCACCGAUUGACUAAGGUUUCCAGAGGAAGGCUCGUCCGCUCUGGGUUAGUCGGGUCCUAAGCUGAGGCCGACAGGCGUAGGCGAUGGAUAACAGGUUGAUAUUCCUGUACCACCUAUAAUCGUUUUAAUCGAUGGGGGGACGCAGUAGGAUAGGCGAAGCGUGCGAUUGGAUUGCACGUCUAAGCAGUAAGGCUGAGUAUUAGGCAAAUCCGGUACUCGUUAAGGCUGAGCUGUGAUGGGGAGAAGACAUUGUGUCUUCGAGUCGUUGAUUUCACACUGCCGAGAAAAGCCUCUAGAUAGAAAAUAGGUGCCCGUACCGCAAACCGACACAGGUAGUCAAGAUGAGAAUUCUAAGGUGAGCGAGCGAACUCUCGUUAAGGAACUCGGCAAAAUGACCCCGUAACUUCGGGAGAAGGGGUGCUCUUUAGGGUUAACGCCCAGAAGAGCCGCAGUGAAUAGGCCCAAGCGACUGUUUAUCAAAAACACAGGUCUCUGCUAAACCGUAAGGUGAUGUAUAGGGGCUGACGCCUGCCCGGUGCUGGAAGGUUAAGAGGAGUGGUUAGCUUCUGCGAAGCUACGAAUCGAAGCCCCAGUAAACGGCGGCCGUAACUAUAACGGUCCUAAGGUAGCGAAAUUCCUUGUCGGGUAAGUUCCGACCCGCACGAAAGGCGUAACGAUUUGGGCACUGUCUCAACGAGAGACUCGGUGAAAUCAUAGUACCUGUGAAGAUGCAGGUUACCCGCGACAGGACGGAAAGACCCCGUGGAGCUUUACUGUAGCCUGAUAUUGAAAUUCGGCACAGCUUGUACAGGAUAGGUAGGAGCCUUUGAAACGUGAGCGCUAGCUUACGUGGAGGCGCUGGUGGGAUACUACCCUAGCUGUGUUGGCUUUCUAACCCGCACCACUUAUCGUGGUGGGAGACAGUGUCAGGCGGGCAGUUUGACUGGGGCGGUCGCCUCCUAAAAGGUAACGGAGGCGCUCAAAGGUUCCCUCAGAAUGGUUGGAAAUCAUUCAUAGAGUGUAAAGGCAUAAGGGAGCUUGACUGCGAGACCUACAAGUCGAGCAGGGUCGAAAGACGGACUUAGUGAUCCGGUGGUUCCGCAUGGAAGGGCCAUCGCUCAACGGAUAAAAGCUACCCCGGGGAUAACAGGCUUAUCUCCCCCAAGAGUUCACAUCGACGGGGAGGUUUGGCACCUCGAUGUCGGCUCAUCGCAUCCUGGGGCUGUAGUCGGUCCCAAGGGUUGGGCUGUUCGCCCAUUAAAGCGGUACGCGAGCUGGGUUCAGAACGUCGUGAGACAGUUCGGUCCCUAUCCGUCGUGGGCGUAGGAAAUUUGAGAGGAGCUGUCCUUAGUACGAGAGGACCGGGAUGGACAUACCUCUGGUGUACCAGUUGUCGUGCCAACGGCAUAGCUGGGUAGCUAUGUGUGGACGGGAUAAGUGCUGAAAGCAUCUAAGCAUGAAGCCCCCCUCAAGAUGAGAUUUCCCAACUUCGGUUAUAAGAUCCCUCAAAGAUGAUGAGGUUAAUAGGUUCGAGGUGGAAGCAUGGUGACAUGUGGAGCU